rnacentral:rRNA from 1 species
AGUGAACGCUGGCGGCGUGCUUAACACAUGCAAGUCGAACGAGAACGGAUUAUAGCUUGCUAUAAUUGUCAGCUAAGUGGCGCACGGGUGAGUAAUGUAUAGGUAGUAUGCCUCUUACUAAGGGAUAACAAAUGGAAACGUUUGCUAAUACCUUAUACUCCUUAUUAACAUAAGUUAAUAAGGGAAAGAUUUAUUGGUAAGAGAUUAGCCUGUAUUGUAUCAGUUAGUUGGUGGGGUAAUGGCUUACCAAGACUAUGACACAUAACUGGUUUGAGAGGAUGAUCAGUCACACUGGAACUGAGACACGGUCCAGACUCCUACGGGAGGCAGCAGUGGGGAAUAUUGCACAAUGGACGAAAGUCUGAUGCAGCAACGCCGCGUGGAGGAUGACACAUUUCGGUGCGUAAACUCCUUUUAUAUGAGAAGAUAAUGACGGUAUUAUAUGAAUAAGCACCGGCUAACUCCGUGCCAGCCGCCGCGGUAAAAC